rnacentral:rRNA from 1 species
UUCUUAACAUUACUGGUACUCAGCUGGUAGUUCAGUGGCGUCGACUCUCCUCUUGAGACUUCGAGGGAGGAGGUGGUUCUAGAUCCCUCCUGUCCUCCUCACUAGACACCUUCGUUCCUUUCUCUCUAGCUACCUCAAACGACACCGCCGUAAAUCGCGCCAUCGACCCCAGCGGCACAACUUCGAUUUGUCGCACUUCCCCUCCGGCUUGUGGCUACGAUCCUCGUAGUCACGCCUAGAGUUGAGCUAGUUUCGAUGGUACGAUCUAGUACGGCUGGUACAUGCCGGAUACUCAAAGAACGCCCGUCUUAUAAAACGUGUUGACUCCCGGAACCGUACACUGUAGCUUCUGACAUAUCUGACGAAGUUGCGGUUCUACUGCUGGCUACGACUAAAACGUCUGUUUUAACGGGCUGAGUUCCUCUCGAGUUUCCCUUGCUGAGUGGCCUAUGUAUGCAAACCGAAAUAAGGACAUGUUCCCCGACGUCGUGUUCUCGGACGACGACGACAGGGCCGUCUCUAACUCUUAGAAGUCACAAACUACUCCCCAUUUGUACUACCACUAAUGGAGUUGACGAACGAUAUAAAGACGAACAAGGGUGGGUUAAUAGUACAGUCCUGAUUCGGGGAGUACUCCUCUACCUGCCGCCUUCCCGAUCAUCCUUCUCUUGUUAGGCGUUAGUCGUUAAACCUGUUCAAGUACCUCAGGUCAUAGUAGUCCAGGUGGGUCUUUUCGUCGUUACCCUUCCACUUCUCUACGGUCGGAUGACCGUUGUGCUAAGCAGUCAUGUAGAGGGUUGCCAGGUACAGGCUCUUAAAGUAUGACAAUACAGUGCCACGCAGACGGCUUUACGGCCUCCCUGUGGGAGCGUCCGAUAGACACGUAGGAACACGUUUACAAGGUGACUUAAACGGACUCUCAAAUAGACUACAGGCCUGCAACCGCCAUAAGAGAUGACGACGCCCCCUAGAGCUACUUCUACAAGAUGCAAAAAGGUUAAUAUUUCACGACGCUCACGACCUAGAUUUUCUUACACGAGUGGACUCACUACCGGUAUAAGUCCGAUAGAUGUUGGUCCUCGACUACUUUAUGGACUCGUAGUUUAGUCCGUAGUAACUAGCCCAAGGUUCCCUUUAGCCCUUCGACUUAGUCGAUCUCUGUGAGCUGGACUCACCUUCGAGUUUAACACUGCUACGACUACCUUAUCACUGCCACAUGUUUCUUCAGGAGGACGAAGGGUUUGACUUCGUGGAGGAACCGUUCAAGGUCGAAAGAUCUUCCCUAAAGAAACAAACCUCUAGUCUACAUCUCUCCAAAGACUCUCGAUUAUUCUCACACGACCUCUGCGACAGUCCUAAACAGUAGCCACCCUCUUUACCUAAAGUUGUCGACGACUCAGAAUACGCCGUCAACGCCUUCCACUUCUAUACCACGUUUAGGCUGCGUUCGGUUCUUUUGGACCCUCAAGAAAGUUUCCGGUAAUCCUUUAGUAGCCACUACCGCGGCCUCGCGGAGUAGAAUUCGCCAGGGACAGCUAGCUGAAGCCUCGUACGGGCUCUCUCAAGCACCUACUUUAUCUGCGUCAGCGCCCGUUCGAGCUAAGCGAGUUCGACGUGCCAGUUAACUCGGUUGAGGGAGGCAAACAACGUCUCGAUUCACGUGAACUCCUCGACACGGAAACCAGCUGACCGGACGCAACCCUCCAAUAAGCUCUUCCCGACUCGAAGCACCCCCCUGACUUUAUAGAGUUCGAAUAACUUCUGUUGGAGCCCGAGUAGCUGUAUACCAUACUAGUGGAGUAUUCGUAACCCGCCAAUAGGUAGCACAAGUUACUAGGUUACGAUUAUCUGUAUUGCUAGGUUCUACCGCGCGACGGAACAGAACACAGCGAAGUAUAGUAGACAGGUGUCGGCGAGGAAGAAGGACCUUCUCGUGAACCAUAGUUUUAGCGUGUGUACUGAGUCGACUUACUUCAGCGUGAGGUAGGACUGCAGCUGCAACCUUAUUUUCGGCUUACCGUUGCGCGACAGCUACCGGUAUGAUUAUCCGGGCAUGGACAGGAAAACAGGUAACUUCCUGGGACUAGUUAUUACGUAUGGAGUAGUUUGUUCAGCCACGUUUAGUUGUUACCUCGGUGGAGGCCACACGUAACGACGGUUGAAUUCAACUUACGACGACGAGAGGAACACAAUACCAAAAGAAGAAUAACAAUGAUAAUAUUAAAUAGUGUUCCAAAUGGUGUACAAAAAAUGGAAGAAGUUUAAUAAUAAACGCACGCAUGUUAGCCAACGUAUUAAAAAAUCUCCCUACUUAGGAAUGAGAACGACAUGUAGAAUAACAUAAGGAGGCUCACUUCUUGAAACGAUAAUUGACCACAUAGUACAAAUGAAAAAUAGUAAUAAAUCAGAACACAAAACAUACAAGUUGUUCGAAUAGAGUUGAACCC